rnacentral:misc_RNA from 1 species
ACAAGGUUUCCGUAGGUGAACCUGCGGAAGGAUCAUUACCGAGUGAGGGCCCUCUGGGUCCAACCUCCCACCCGUGUUUAUUUUACCUUGUUGCUUCGGCGGGCCCGCCUUAACUGGCCGCCGGGGGGCUCACGCCCCCGGGCCCGCGCCCGCCGAAGACACCCUCGAACUCUGUCUGAAGAUUGUAGUCUGAGUGAAAAUAUAAAUUAUUUAAAACUUUCAACAACGGAUCUCUUGGUUCCGGCAUCGAUGAAGAACGCAGCGAAAUGCGAUACGUAAUGUGAAUUGCAAAUUCAGUGAAUCAUCGAGUCUUUGAACGCACAUUGCGCCCCCUGGUAUUCCGGGGGGCAUGCCUGUCCGAGCGUCAUUGCUGCCCUCAAGCCCGGCUUGUGUGUUGGGCCCCGUCCUCCGAUCCCGGGGGACGGGCCCGAAAGGCAGCGGCGGCACCGCGUCCGGUCCUCGAGCGUAUGGGGCUUUGUCACCCGCUCUGUAGGCCCGGCCGGCGCUUGCCGAUCAACCCAAAUUUUUAUCCAGGUUGACCUCGGAUCAGGUAGGGAUACCCGCUGAACUUAAGCAUAUCAAUAA